UGGGGAAUAUUGCACAAUGGGCGAAAGCCUGAUGCAGCGACGCCGCGUGAGGGAUGACGGCCUUCGGGUUGUAAACCUCUUUCAGUAGGGAAGAAGCGAAAGUGACGGUACCUGCAGAAGAAGCGCCGGCUAACUACGUGCCAGCAGCCGCGGUAAUACGUAGGGCGCAAGCGUUGUCCGGAAUUAUUGGGCGUAAAGAGCUCGUAGGUGGCUUGUCGCGUCUGCCGUGAAAACCCGAGGCUCAACCUCGGGCGUGCGGUGGGUACGGGCAGGCUAGAGUGUGGUAGGGGAGACUGGAACUCCUGGUGUAGCGGUGAAAUGCGCAGAUAUCAGGAAGAACACCGAUGGCGAAGGCAGGUCUCUGGGCCAUUACUGACACUGAGGAGCGAAAGCAUGGGUAGCGAACAGG
rnacentral:rRNA from 1 species